rfam:Bombyx mori DNA, contig: Bm_scaf56_contig27893, strain: p50T/Dazao, build 2, whole genome shotgun sequence.
AUACUUACCUGCCAUAGGGGACACCGUAAUCAAUUAGGCAGUUCCCCCAGGGCGAGAUGUUUCCAUUGCACUACGGAUUCGUUAACCCCUGCGAUUAUCCCUAAUGUGGAUAAAUCGGACGCGCAAUUUUUGGCAGUGGAGACUGCGUACGCGCUGUCCCCUC